rnacentral:rRNA from 1 species
GAUGAACGCUGGCGGCGUGCCUAAUACAUGCAAGUCGAGCGAACAGACGAGGAGCUUGCUCCUCUGACGUUAGCGGCGGACGGGUGAGUAACACGUGGAUAACCUACCUAUAAGACUGGGAUAACUUCGGGAAACCGGAGCUAAUACCGGAUAAUAUAUUGAACCGCAUGGUUCAAUAGUGAAAGACGGUUUUGCUGUCACUUAUAGAUGGAUCCGCGCCGCAUUAGCUAGUUGGUAAGGUAACGGCUUACCAAGGCAACGAUGCGUAGCCGACCUGAGAGGGUGAUCGGCCACACUGGAUCUGAGACACGGUCCAGACUCCUACGGGAGGCAGCAGUAGGGAAUCUUCCGCAAUGGGCGAAAGCCUGACGGAGCAACGCCGCGUGAGUGAUGAAGGUCUUCGGAUCGUAAAACUCUGUUAUCAGGGAAGAACAAAUGUGUAAGUAACUAUGCACGUCUUGACGGUACCUAAUCAGAAAGCCACGGCUAACUACGUG